rnacentral:lncRNA from 1 species
AGUGGCAGGUCUUGCCCGAAGGUGUAUUUCAGGAAGACGGGGGAUGAGCUGAACUAUGCCUUCUCCAGAGCAGGCUAGACGUGUGGAGAAAAAAGGAAUAAAGCAAGUCCAUGUCAGCUGGAGAGAAAAUAUUCCUAUACAACCCAAGCUAGGAGAGGGAGAGUGUGGGGCUGAUUUUGAUUUAAAGAAAAUGUUCAUGGUUAAAUGAAGAAAACAGU